UGGUAGAUGCACCCUGAUUCCGAGCCCUGGAGAUGCAUCUUUGGGGCUCUUUCUU
rnacentral:sRNA from 1 species